rnacentral:rRNA from 1 species
GAUGAACGCUGGCUGUGUGCCUAAUACAUGCAUGUCGAACGAAGCACUUGUGCUUAGUGGCGAAUGGGUGAGUAACACGUACUUAAUCUGCCCUUCAGAGUGGGACAACAGUUGGAAACGACUGCUAAUACCGCAUACGUAUAUUAAUCGCAUGAUUGAUAUAUAAAAGAGGCGUUUGCCUCGCUGAUGGAUGAGAGUGCGCCAUAUUAGCUAGUUGGUAGGGUAAUGGCCUACCAAGGCGAUGAUAUGUAGCGGGGUCGAGAGGCUGAACCGCCACACUGGGACUGAGAUACGGCCCAG